UAACACGUGGGCAACCUACCUUAUAGUUUGGGAUAACUCCGGGAAACCGGGGCUAAUACCGAAUAAUCUAUUUUACUUCAUGGUGAAAUACUGAAAGACGGUUUCGGCUGUCGCUAUAAGAUGGGCCCGCGGCGCAUUAGCUAGUUGGUGAGGUAACGGCUCACCAAGGCGACGAUGCGUAGCCGACCUGAGAGGGUGAUCGGCCACACUGGGACUGAGACACGGCCCAGACUCCUACGGGAGGCAGCAGUAGGGAAUCUUCCACAAUGGGCGAAAGCCUGAUGGAGCAACGCCGCGUGAGUGAAGAAGGUUUUCGGAUCGUAAAACUCUGUUGUAAGGGAAGAACAAGUACAGUAGUAACUGGCUGUACCUUGACGGUACCUUAUUAGAAAGCCACGGCUAACUACGUGCCAGCAGCCGCGGUAAUACGUAGGUGGCAAGCGUUGUCCGGAAUUAUUGGGCGUAAAGCGCGCGCAGGCGGUCCUUUAAGUCUGAUGUGAAAGCCCACGGCUCAACCGUGGAGGGUCAUUGGAAACUGGGGGACUUGAGUGCAGAAGAGGAAAGUGGAAUUCCAAGUGUAGCGGUGAAAUGCGUAGAGAUUUGGAGGAACACCAGUGGCGAAGGCGACUUUCUGGUCUGUAACUGACGCUGAGGCGCGAAAGCGUGGGGAGCAAACAGG
rnacentral:rRNA from 1 species